GCUGGCCUGAGGAUAGAGAUCACUAUACAACUGCUGGGAUGAUCCCAGCCCACCUGUGUAGCUCCAGGACUGAGGGGAAGGUUGUGUCUCACCAGAUGGCAGUGGCACUCUCACCAUGGCGAGUGUGGACUAUGACUCUAUGAUCACUGUCUCCCGGCCUUUAGCAGAUCUACGAAGGAAGCAAUAGAUAUGCUGUAAAACUGGAUUUCAGGUCUCUGCAAAACGUUUGCGCUUGGUCUUGCUGCACCAAGACUUCAGAAAGUCUACCAACAAAGCCACGAUGCUCCAUGAAGUGACCCUGUGGCUGCUGGUGGUGGUUGGCAUCUCCACAGUGACUGGAGGGGGACCUGGAGGAGGUUACGCACAAAUCAAAUACAUGCAGCCUGUGGUGAAAGGACCUCUCGGCCCUCCUUUUCGGGAAGGCAAGGGACAGUACAUAGGUAAGCA